AGUCCAGUCUGCUUCUCUCCUGCACUGCUCAUAGCCACACCCCUCCUUUCCCUUCACACUCACCUGCAGUGGAAAUUUCCACCCCUGCUCAGCCACUCAUGCAGCCACACCCCCUCAUCAGUGCAACUGCUUCCACCUGGUCCCCACAGUUUAUAGAGCCUCACUCACCCUCUGCUCACUGCCAGAUUGUUCCACUGCUAUGCGUGACUCUCAAGCCUGCGAAUUAGGAGUGAGUCCCUGUUGCCGACCCUGCCUGUUUUCUGACUAUUGCUUUUCCUGAUCCCUGGACCUUUGCACACUGAUCUGAUACCUGUUCUGAGACAUCUGCGGUUUUGCCUGCAACCUUCUACCACCUUCAAAGAGGAGCCCAUCAUCCAACUAUCCCCUGAACUAGAGAGCCAACUGUGAUCUGGACACAGGUGCUCAGAGGGCUUCCUAUCAUCCAUGGGGACAACCCCACAAACUUCAAAGCAGGCUUUGAAUCUGAUUAUUUUUGUGACCUUGACAUUGGGAUACUUCUCAUUGAGCGUGAAGAUGCUGUGCCCACGUCUUCCCAGCAUCUCAGUCCAGCCUCGUUGAAAAUCAUCAUUGAGGGAGAAGUCGUGAUGGACAACAUUCAAGAUCUGCCAAAAGCAACGUGCAUUCGGUUUGGACUCAUGUAUUCACUCCAUCUUAACUAACCCAAGACUAUGAAGCUCACAUUUCAGUUCAUCCAACAGGUAUUGCUCUUGUUAGGCCACACUGAUCUAAAGCCGAAGCUACAGACUUUGAAAAAUCAGCUCGCAAUGUAAAGAGAUGUCAAGUCUACUCUAAGAAGCUGUUGAUGACUUUUUUUUUUUUUUUUUUUUGCCACACCAGUAAAACACUUAACUUAUUUCCUGUAAACUGGACGAGCAGACACACACCCACACACAACACUGACACACAUACACACCUACACACACUUAAAUGCUGUAGGAAGUGUGCUGAAGGAUGUGACUUGUGUGAAAAUUAAAACUGAGGAGUUGUAGCAGAAAGACAGACAUUGUUUCAGUUCUUCAUCCAUCUAUGUAGAUGGAAUAAGAUAUUGUUCUGAUAUGAUAGUCUGUUGGUUCAUGCUCUGGCCUCCUUUCAUUUAGGCAGAUGAAACAGAUCCUGUUUGUUUGCAGUUUCUUGUUCAUCUGAGUGGGGUUUUCUGUGUGAAUUGUUUUGUUUAUGGAUUUACCACUUUAAUCUCAGGAGACAUCCAUGUUUUGUUUUUUUUUUUUUCUUGUAAAUUUGACACAUUCAACACCCACAUACAAAGAACACAGACACGUACAACACCCACACACAAUUGUUUCAAUGAUUUGAAAUGACCUUUUUCAGAUUAAUCAUUUUAGGUUGGAUGUGUUGAUGUUGACCUGAUAAGUUUGUCAUAACAAGGUUGGCUGUCAUUUGCCAUUUUUCUUAAAUAAAAUGCAUUGGAGCA